UGGGGAAUAUUGGACAAUGGGCGCAAGCCUGAUCCAGCCAUGCCGCGUGUGUGAAGAAGGCCUUUUGGUUGUAAAGCACUUUAAGCGAGGAGGAGGCGACUUGGAUUAAUACUCUAAGAUAGUGGACGUUACUCGCAGAAUAAGCACCGGCUAACUCUGUGCCAGCAGCCGCGGUAAUACAGAGGGUGCGAGCGUUAAUCGGAUUGACUGGGCGUAAAGCGUGCGUAGGCGGCUUCUUAAGUCGGAUGUGAAAUCCCUGGGCUUAACUUAGGAAUUGCAUUGGAUACUGGGAAGCUAGAGGAUGGGAGAGGAUGGGAGAAUUCCAGGUGUAGCGGUGAAAUGCGUAGAGAUCGGGAGGAAUACCGAUGGCGAAGGCAGCCAUCUGGCCUAAUACUGACGCUGAGGUACGAAAGCAUGGGGAGCAAACAGG
rnacentral:rRNA from 1 species